rnacentral:rRNA from 1 species
UACAGCCCUAAGCCAUAUCGCCUUGUACUGUGAUCCUGUCAGAUCUCACAAGCUAAAACAGGGUCAGCACUUGGAUGGGAGAUCUCCAAGGAACACAGAGGUGCUGUCG